rnacentral:misc_RNA from 1 species
AACGCAAAUUGCGCUCUCGGGAUAGGCCUGGGAGCACGCCUCUUUGAGUAUCGUUUCAACCACAACUCGAAAGCGUGCUAAUUGCACUGCUGACGGAGAAUGAGCGUUCUCGUGAAAGCGAGUCGCUUUAAAAUGAGCGAGUGACUAGACAGUUGUCGAAAGAUAAACUCUUGUCUGCUGUGACGAGGAUAACUUCACAUUCAUUUGUGAACCCUUCCAUCGUGACGUGCAGAUUGAGAGCUGUCUGAGGCGGCUGUCAUCUGUCACAGAACUCUUGCAUCGUCUGCUAUGACGGUCGCAGAACUUCUCUUGAACUAGAUCUCAAAUGAAGCGAGAAAACCCGCUGAACUUAA